rnacentral:tRNA from 1 species
CGGGUGUAGUUCAGUGGUAGAACGUCAGCCUUCCAAGCUGAACAUGCGGGUUCGAUUCCCGCCACCC